UACGGUUGUAUCACGUUGAAUCAUCGCUACCCGUACGAUCAUCGGAGUUAAGCAACGCCGAACCUGUGAGUACCCAGAUGGGUGACCGUUUGGAAAUAUCAGGUGCUGCAAG